rnacentral:rRNA from 1 species
AUACGAAGGUCCCAAGCGUUAUUCGGAAUCACUGGGCGUAAAGAGUACGUAGGCGGUUUGGUAAGUCAGGUGUGAAAUCCCGAAGCUCAACUUCGGAACUGCAUCCGAUACUGCCAGACUUGAGUAAUGGAGAGGCAGGUGGAAUUCUCGGUGUAGCAGUGAAAUGCGUGGAUAUCGAGAGGAAGACCAAUGGCGAAGGCAGCCUGCUGGACAUUUACUGACGCUGAGGUACGAAGGCUAGGGGAGCGAAAGGGAUUAGAUACCCCAGUAGUCC